rnacentral:tRNA from 1 species
GGAGAUGUGGUGUAGCGGCCUAACAUAUCGCCCUGUCACGGCGAAGACCGCGGGUUCGAAUCCCGUCAUCUCCG